rnacentral:rRNA from 1 species
UACGGAGGGAGCUAGCGUUGUUCGGAAUUACUGGGCGUAAAGCGCGCGUAGGCGGCUUUGUAAGUUAGAGGUGAAAGCCCGGGGCUCAACUCCGGAAUUGCCUUUAAGACUGCAUCGCUAGAAUCCGGGAGAGGUGAGUGGAAUUCCGGGUGUAGAGGUGAAAUUCGUAGAUAUUCGGAAGAACACCAGUGGCGAAGGCGGCUCACUGGACCGGUAUUGACGCUGAGGUGCGAAAGCGUGGGGAGCAAACAGG